CGGCCUUCCUCGGGGCUCGUGCAGCGGGGGACCCGGGGGACCCCAGGACGCCCGCCUGGGCUUCGGGGGCUCCCGCGCGCUUCUUCAGGGCAGUGGCCGCGCCCCGUGGGAGCGGGGCGGGAAGACGGCGGCGGGCCGCGGGGGCCGGGGCGGUGGGCUCCGCCGGGCCUUCCCCACGCCGGGGGGUCGCCAGGGGCGUCCCGGGGCCCGCAGGUGAGGCCGGGGCUGCCGUGGGCGCCGCCGAGGCUUCCGAGCGAAACCGAAAUCGCCGUCCUCGGAGCGGCGGCAGCAGCGGGGCCCUGCAGGGAGCUGCCCCGCCUGGGAAGAAUUAGCUCCCUCAGUCCUCAGACGCGGGUGGGCGGCGGCGCGGCCUCCACCGCCGCUCUCCGCCGGAGAAGCGGGCUCGCAGCUCGCCUGGGCCCUGGCUGAGCACCGGGGCUCCGGCCCUGCCGCUCCACUGACAGCUUUGGUGGCGUUGGACCUGCCUCGUCAGCAUCUGCUCUCCCCUGACGGGAAAACGAGGAAGGGAGGAAUGGCCGUGGACUUGCUGCCUGCUCAGCAGACGGUACAUUUCUUAUCGAAGAAAAUUGUGGAGAAACCAGAAGCCAUGCAAGUUAUCCCAAGUCCUGGGCUUGUGGAGGGGCUGCUAAGGAAUGUGUGUCCUUUGUCCCCAAGCCCCUCUCCUUUCACUCCAGACUCACUUCUUGACUAAAACUUUUGAAUCAACUCUGAACGUGUAAUUCACGCUGCAAUAAAUGCUUGGUGAUGA